rnacentral:rRNA from 1 species
GACGAAGGGGGCUAGCGUUGUUCGGAAUUACUGGGCGUAAAGCGCGUGUAGGCGGUUGUCCAAGUUGGAUGUGAAAGCCUUGAGCUUAACUCAAGAAAUGCAUUCAGGACUGGAUGACUAGAGGACCGGAGAGGAUAGUGGAAUUCCCAGUGUAGUGGUGAAAUACGUAGAGAUUGGGAAGAACACCAGUGGCGAAGGCGGCUAUCUGGACGGUUUCUGACGCUAAGACGCGAAAGCUAGGGGAGCAAACGGG